UACGUAGGUGGCAAGCGUUGUCCGGAUUUACUGGGCGUAAAGGAUGCGUAGGCGGACAUUUAAGUCAGAUGUGAAAUACCCGAGCUUAACUUGGGUGCUGCAUUUGAAACUGGGUGUCUAGAGUGCAGGAGAGGUAAGUGGAAUUCCUAGUGUAGCGGUGAAAUGCGUAGAGAUUAGGAAGAACACCAGUGGCGAAGGCGACUUACUGGACUGUAACUGACACUGAGGCGCGAAAGCGUGGGGAGCAAACAGG
rnacentral:rRNA from 1 species